rnacentral:rRNA from 1 species
CAGUAGCCGCGGGAAAACAGAGGGUGCGAGCGUUAAUCGGAUUUACUGGGCGUAAAGCGUGCGUAGGCGGCUUUUUAAGUCGGAUGUGAAAUCCCUGAGCUUAACUUAGGAAUUGCAUUCGAUACUGGGAAGCUAGAGUAUGGGAGAGGAUGGUAGAAUUCCAGGUGUAGCGGUGAAAUGCGUAGAGAUCUGGAGGAAUACCGAUGGCGAAGGCAGCCAUCUGGCCUAAUACUGACGCUGAGGUACGAAAGCAUGGGGAGCAAACAGGAUUAGAUACCCCAGUAGUCCCUGUCUCUUAUAA